GCCGUCCACUCCCCGCCUAGUCCUUCCAGGCGAGUCCUGUUCCAGCGCUGAAGGUGGGGCUUAAAUGUAUUAAUAUUAAAAAAGCGCUGUUGACCUAUAUUUGGAGGAAACCCAUUUCCAGUGCCUAGAUUGCAUGUAGUUUCAGAAACUCCGGGAUUGGCAGAGCAAUUGACUUCACCGAGCUCUCUGGUGAGCAUGAAUAAUAAUUAUGAGGUGACUCUUUGAGAGGUUUUCUCUCUCUCUUUCUCUCUCUCUUUUUGCAUAAAAUGGUUCCGCAAUCUGAUUCCACCCGAGAUCCAAUAUUUACCCAGUUGUAAACCUUGUGCCAUCAGAUUUUUUAAAACAGAAGGUGAUGCAAUGCUGAUAAGUUGCAAGUCCCUCCCCUAUGGAAGUACCAGAGCAUUGGCGGCGAGCAUCCUUAAAGAAAUAUCAAUAUAUUUACGCUCUGAUGGGCACAAUUGCAAAUGAUGGUAUUGCAAUACGAGCUAUAUAAUACGGAAUCAGGAGAGGAAUGGUCGAUCCGGCUUCAGCUGCCUUUUGUGAGUGCACGACUGCAUGCCUACUAAAUUUAGAAUAUGCUCGCGAGGAAGAAAAAAAAAAGAAGAAGAAGAAGGAUAAAAUGAAAUGAAAGAAAAAAAAAAAAGAAAUAAAUCAAAUAAAAAGAUCAAGUCAGCAGGCGCACCAACCGAGGACUACGCUUGUAAUAAUGAGUGAGUGGCCUGGCGGUCACUAUACACUUGGGGUCCUCUGAGCUGUAUGCAAUUCGUUUGAUCAAAGUGCAUCCUUGGGGACAAAUGCAAACAGCAAUCGCUAAACCAAGUUACAGGCAACGCCAUGGCACGGUAAUGACUCGGAAAAAAGGGCUCUGAAAUGUUCCUGAAAGCUUAACAAAACACCAUCCUUUCCAAGAGAAGAAGCAGAUGUGAGAGCUCAGUAAAUUCUGUGGGGAUGCUCCAUCGGCUAAUACAUCCUCACCAACUGAGAAGGGCCCAAUCCCUGCAGAGUCAACCACUGAAGUUACUUGUGUCAAUACCAGAAGUUCUCAGACGUGCAUCUUUCAUGAAUCUCAUCUGAAGCCAAAUUGUAUGACAGCUCAGCAAGUCUUCUGGACACUGGUCUCAACCCUUACGAGGCUUUCUAAGCAGAAACCAAAGCCUGAAUUUAUGCAGAAACCCAGGCAAACCAAAGCGAGUCACCAACAGCAGUUGUGAAGUUAGUGCGAAACCAGGACGAGAAGCAGGCUGCCACACUCUGGACCAUCUUCAUCCUCUAUAUUGCUUUAAGAUUAAUAAAAUGACCAUUUCAGCAUCUUAA